rnacentral:rRNA from 1 species
CAGUCGCCACGGUAAUACGAGGGGUGUGAGCGUUGUCCGGAUUUAUUGGGCGUAAAGCGAGCGCAGGCGGUUAGAUAAGUCUGAAGUUAAAGGCUGUGGCCUAACCAUAGUACGCUUUGGGAACUGUUUAACUUGAGUGCAAGAGGGGAGAGUGGAAUUCCAUGUGUAGCGGUGAAAUGCGUAGAUAUAUGGAAGAACACCGGUGGCGAAGGCGGCUUUCUGGACGGCAACUGACACUGAGGCUCGAAAGCCAGGGGAGCGAACGGGAUUAGAUACCCCUGUAGUCCCUGUCUCUUAUACA